rnacentral:rRNA from 1 species
UGGGGAAUUUUGGACAAUGGGCGAAAGCCUGAUCCAGCAAUGCCGCGUGUGUGAAGAAGGCCUUCGGGUUGUAAAGCACUUUUGUCCGGAAAGAAAUCCUUGGCUCUAAUACAGUCGGGGGAUGACGGUACCGGAAGAAUAAGCACCGGCUAACUACGUGCCAGCAGCCGCGGUAAUACGUAGGGUGCAAGCGUUAAUCGGAAUUACUGGGCGUAAAGCGUGCGCAGGCGGUUUGCUAAGACCGAUGUGAAAUCCCCGGGCUAACCUGGGAACUGCAUUGGUGACUGGCAGGCUAGAGUAUGGCAGAGGGGGGUAGAAUUCCACGUGUAGCAGUGAAAUGCGUAGAGAUGUGGAGGAAUACCGAUGGCGAAGGCAGCCCCCUGGGCCAAUACUGACGCUCAUGCACGAAAGCGUGGGGAGCAAACAGGAUUAGAUACCCUGGUAGUCCACGCCCUAAACGAUGUCAACUAGUUGUUGGGGAUUCAUUUCCUAGUAACGUAGCUAACGCGUGAAGUUGACCGCCUGGGGAGUACGGUCGCAAUGAUUAAAACUCAAAUGAAUUGACGGGGUCAUAGCUGUUUCCU